rnacentral:rRNA from 1 species
GACGAACGCUGGCGGCGUGCUUAACACAUGCAAGUCGAACGGAAAGGCCCUGCUUUUGUGGGGUGCUCGAGUGGCGAACGGGUGAGUAACACGUGAGUAACCUCCCCUUGACUUUGGGAUAACUUCAGGAAACUGGGGCUAAUACCGGAUAGGAGCUCCUGCUGCAUGGUGGGGGUUGGAAAGAUUCGGCGGUUGGGGAUGGACUCGCGGCUUAUCCGCUUGUUGGUGGGGUUGUGGCUUACCAAGGCUUUGACGGGUAGGCGGCCUGGGAGGGUGAACGGCCACAUUGGGACUGAGAGACGGACCAGAAUGCUACGGGAGGCAGCAGUGGGGAAUAUUGCACAAUGGGCGGGAGCCUGAUGCAGCAACGCCGCGUGCGGGAUGACGGCCUUCGGGUUGUAAACCGCUUUCGCCUGUGACGAAGCGUGAGUGACGGUAAUGGGUAAAGAAGCACCGGCUAACUACGUG